rnacentral:tRNA from 1 species
GUUGUAGCUCAGUGGCAGAGCAUCUGGUUGGCUUGCAGAAGGUCCCAAGUUCAAUCCCCAGCAUCUCCA